GUAAUUCAGAGUCAAGUGGACUUAAAUUUCCCAAUCAGCAAAGAACUGAUGCUUGAUAUUUGCGGGUGAUUUUUCUGGCGAACAUUGGACAUGAUCCACACGAAUUGGAUAUGGAAAGAAUGAAGAACGAUGACAUUGAUGUUGAUAGAAGAACCGAUAAACAAUUGCAACUUUUCGAAUCCAAAAUUCAGGUACGCUUCUUUCUGUAUUUAGUUGAUAUGGUUUAGAGUUAUGUAAGGUUUUAGUUUUUUGGGUCCCAGGUUUAUGAGCCUUAAAUUAACUAAGUUAUUAAAUAACCCACAGGAUGUGCACAAUUUUAUUUUUGUAGCAAAAUUUGAGCUACAACGGUAAUUUAAUUAGUAAGAUUGGUUAAAUUAAGUGAAAUAAUUGGUUGAAUUAAAUGCUCCAGCUACAAAUUCCAAAUACAAUUAGAAUAUUUAUUUUAGGUUUUAGGUUGAUAAAUAAUUUAUUUUUAAAAUUGAAUAUAUAUGCCACCUGUAAAUCGUGACACAAAUGAAGGUAAGGAUGAGUUUGAGGCUUGAGGCGUAUAAUAAAAUGCGCCCUUCCUCUCUUCUUUCGACACCACAAUUUUGUAUCUCUUCCGGCUGCCGCCGUCUCAACCUCUCCCCUCAAAAUGGCCUCCUCCCUCUUCUCUUUCAAUACCUCUCUCUCUCCCAAACCCUCUUCUCUCUUCCGACGCCCCCUUCGCCGGAAUACUUCCCCCCCUUUCACCAUCGCCUGCCCCUCCGCCACCUCCGACUCUGCCGCCUCCCCUGUUCUCGACUCUUCCUUGCCCCUCGGAGUUCAGAAUCCCCACUUCGCUUCUGUCGAUAUUCAAGAUGACUCUCAUCGCAGUCGUUCCGUUGCUGCCGGUGGCGGCCGUAAUUUCUCUGCCAAGUAUGUGCCGUUUGGUUCUGGCUUUGAUUCAUCCGAAUGGUACUCGCUCGACGAAAUCGUUUAUCGGAGCCAAUCCGGCGGGCUGCUUGACGUUCAGCACAACAUGGAAGCGUUGAAGGAGUUCGAUGGAGGGUAUUGGCGGAAUCUGUUCGAUUCGCGUGUAGGGAAGACGACCUGGCCGUACGGUUCCGGCGUGUGGAGCAAGAAAGAGUGGGUGCUGCCGGAGAUUGACUCCAGCGACAUCGUUAGCGCCUUUGAAGGAAAUUCGAAUCUCUUCUGGGCGGAGCGUUUUGGGAAGGAGUUUCUAGGCAUGAACGAUCUGUGGGUCAAACAUUGCGGGAUUAGCCACACCGGCAGUUUUAAAGACCUUGGAAUGACUGUUUUAGUCAGCCAAGUCAACCGCCUCCGGAAAAUGAAUCGCCCGGUCGUCGGUGUCGGCUGCGCCUCCACUGGAGACACCUCCGCCGCUCUCUCUGCUUAUUGCGCCGCCGCAGGAAUUCCGUCCAUUGUUUUCCUCCCGGCCGAUAAGAUUUCCAUGGCACAAUUAGUUCAGCCGAUUGCAAACGGCGCUUUCGUCUUAAGCAUGGACACCGAUUUCGACGGCUGUAUGAAAUUAAUCAGGGAAAUCACGGCGGAGCUUCCGAUUUAUCUGGCGAAUUCGCUCAACAGUUUGAGACUGGAAGGGCAAAAGACGGCGGCCAUUGAAAUCCUUCAACAGUUCGAUUGGGAAGUGCCAGAUUGGGUAAUCAUACCAGGGGGAAACCUAGGGAAUAUAUAUGCGUUUUACAAAGGCUUCCAAAUGUGCAAAGAAUUAGGUCUUGUGGACAAGAUUCCGCGGCUGGUUUGUGCUCAAGCGGCAAAUGCAAAUCCGCUUUACUUGUAUUACAAAUCUGGCUGGAAAGAGUUCUCGCCAUUGAAGGCGAGCACCACUUUCGCUUCUGCAAUACAGAUUGGGGAUCCGGUUUCCAUUGACAGAGCCGUGUUUGCUUUGAAAAAUUCCGGCGGAAUCGUGGAAGAAGCGACGGAGGAGGAACUAAUGGACGCAACAGCUCAGGCUGAUUCGACGGGAAUGUUCAUUUGCCCUCACACAGGAGUGGCGUUAACGGCUCUGAUUAAGCUGAGAAACAGGGGCGUGAUCAAAGGCAGUGAUCGGACGGUGGUAGUAAGCACUGCUCAUGGUCUGAAAUUCACUCAAUCCAAGAUCGAUUACCACUCGAGAGCAAUCCAGGGCAUGGAGUGCCGAUUUGCAAACCCGCCGGUGGAAGUGAAGGCGGAUUUUGGGUCUGUAAUGGAUGUUCUUAAGGAGCAUCUGUCGAGGAAGAAUCCAAAAAUGGAGCUAUAGGCGAAUGUUUCUGCCAUUAAACUAAUCUGCAGUGGAGCUUCGUGUUCAAGGUGGAUAUCAUAAGUUUCUAAUAACUGCAGCAAUUGGAUUGGAUGGUUCCUUGUAACUCAAUAAACAGCCCAUUGGAUCUUGGAAAAAUAUGAAGAGUAGCAUUAGCUCAUACGCCCCAACAUUAUUGCAAAAACAAAUUCAAAUCUCCAUUGACUCUUGCAAUCAAUCAAUCAAUGUUGUUGUUGUUGUUGUGGGCCUUCAUGAAUUAUGGGUCCACUUUUGAUUUGGGAUUCCAUUCAUUUUAAUCAUAUUUAAAACUAGGAAGCUAAGAACUGAGAAGAGGAGGGGAUAAGUAUGGAGAAGCUGAGUGAGAGAAGCUUUGGGUCCCUAUGUCAUGUUGUUGGGUGUCACUGUUUUACUUGUUUGUCUCUAUCUUUACACAAGUAUAUUUUGGUGUG